rnacentral:lncRNA from 1 species
CAGAAUCAAUUCUAGCAGCUUUCAAAUGCGUGUACUUAAAAAAAAGAAAGAAUUUCCAACAGACAUAUAAAAUGCCAGAAUUAAACGUUCAAGGGUACUGGGAGCAGCAAAGAAAAGCCACAGCAACAUCAGUUUGACCACGAAUGCUGCUUAAUGGUUCCUUCGCCAUUUCAGCUGCCACCAUCCCCUCUCCCCAAAACCCCAGUAGACAUCAACAGAAUCCAGAAACUACAGGGUCCACUGGCAUGGCAGGGCCUGUAGGAUUCUUUUCCAAUGUGUACAGAUUGGCUGAUGCCUGGACUAUGCCAGUUCACUGUUUUAAAGAUUACUCUUGAUUGUCACAAUUAAAAACAAAGAAUAUUUAGAACCAAAUUAUAUGUGUUGCACAUUAAACAAAACGUUUUAUAAUAUGUUCUAAAAGUCAGCAAAGGUUAUUUAGCUGUGUAUGAUUCAUUUCACAAUUCCAUUUUUUAAUAUUGUAAUUCUCCCUUAUGCCUUCUAAUUUUUUUUGAAAUGACCACAGAUAUCUUCUGUAGGCCAAAUAGCAUAUUACACAUCUGUCAAAACAUACUUUAUUAUCA